UACGUAGGGGGCAAGCGUUGUCCGGAUUUAUUGGGCGUAAAGAGCUCGUAGGCGGUUCAGUAAGUCAGGUGUGAAACCUCCAGGCUCAACCUGGAGGCGCCACCUGAUACUGCUGUGACUUGAGUCCGGUAGGGGAGCGUGGAAUUCCUGGUGUAGCGGUGAAAUGCGCAGAUAUCAGGAGGAACACCAGCGGCGAAGGCGGCGCUCUGGGCCGGAACUGACGCUGAGGAGCGAAAGCGUGGGUAGCAAACAGG
rnacentral:rRNA from 1 species